rnacentral:rRNA from 1 species
UACGUAGGGUGCUAGCGUUGUCCGGAUUUAUUGGGCGUAAAGGGUGCGUAGGCGGGUCUUUAAGUCAGGGGUGAAAUCCUGGAGCUCAACUCCAGAACUGCCUUUGAUACUGAGGAUCUUGAGUUCGGGAGAGGUGAGUGGAACUGCGAGUGUAGAGGUGAAAUUCGUAGAUAUUCGCAAGAACACCAGUGGCGAAGGCGGCUCACUGGGUCAUUACUGACGCUGAGGCACGAAAGCGUGGGGAGCAAACAGG